GAUGAAGAACGUAGCGAAAUGCGAUAAGUAAUGUGAAUUGCAGAAUUCAGUGAAUCAUCGAAUCUUUGAACGCACAUUGCGCCCGCCAGCAUUCUGGCGGGCAUGCCUGUUCGAGCGUCAUUUCAACCCUCAAGCUCUGCUUGGUGUUGGGGCCCUACGGUUGACGUAGGCCCUUAAAGGUAGUGGCGGACCCUCUCGGAGCCUCCUUUGCGUAGUAACUAACGUCUCGCAUUGGGAUUCGGAGGGACUCUUGCCGUAAAACCCCCAAAUUUUCUAAUGGUUGACCUCGGAUCAGGUAGGAAUACCCGCUGAACUUAAGCAUAUCAAUAAGGGAGG
rnacentral:misc_RNA from 1 species